rnacentral:rRNA from 1 species
CCUGUGAACAUACCUAAAACGUUGCUUCGGCGGGAACAGACGGCCCUGUAACAACGGGCCGCCCCCGCCAGAGGACCCCUAACUCUGUUUUUAUAAUGUUUUUCUGAGUAAACAAGCAAAUAAAUUAAAACUUUCAACAACGGAUCUCUUGGCUCUGGCAUCGAUGAAGAACGCAGCGAAAUGCGAUAAGUAAUGUGAAUUGCAGAAUUCAGUGAAUCAUCGAAUCUUUGAACGCACAUUGCGCCCGCCAGUAUUCUGGCGGGCAUGCCUGUUCGAGCGUCAUUACAACCCUCAGGCCCCCGGGCCUGGCGUUGGGGAUCGGCGGAAGCCCCCUGUGGGCACACGCCGUCCCUCAAAUACAGUGGCGGUCCCGCCGCAGCUUCCAUUCGUAGUAGCUAACACCUCGCAACUGGAGAGCGGCGCGGCCAUGCCGUAAAACACCCAACUUCUGAAUGUUGACCUCGAAUCAGGUAGGAAUACCCGUUGAACUUAAGCAUAUCAAUAAGCGG